rfam:Gossypium hirsutum cultivar TM-1 unplaced genomic scaffold scaffold336.1, whole genome shotgun sequence
AUACCUUUCUCGGCCUUUUGGCUAAGAUCAAGUGUAGUAUCUGUUCUUAUCAGUUUAAUAUCUGAUACGUGGGCCAUUGGCCCACAUGAUAUUAAAUUAAUUUUUCGAGGGGGAGAGCCCACACAGUAGCUUGCUACUCUGGCUCUCGAGGGUCGCCCAAGCGUUGCAGUAUUCCUCGGGCCUGGCCUACCCCAU